rnacentral:rRNA from 1 species
GAUGAACGCUGGCGGCGUGCCUAAUACAUGCAAGUCGAGCGAACGGACGAGAAGCUUGCUUCUCUGAUGUUAGCGGCGGACGGGUGAGUAACACGUGGAUAACCUACCUAUAAGACUGGGAUAACUUCGGGAAACCGGAGCUAAUACCGGAUGAUAUUUUGAACCGCAUGGUUCAAAAGUGAAAGACGGUCUUGCUGUCACUUAUAGAUGGAUCCGCGCUGCAUUAGCUAGUUGGUAAGGUAACGGCUUACCAAGGCAACGAUGCAUAGCCGACCUGAGAGGGUGAUCGGCCACACUGGAACUGAGACACGGUCCAGACUCCUACGGGAGGCAGCAGUAGGGAAUCUUCCGCAAUGGGCGAAAGCCUGACGGAGCAACGCUGCGUGAGUGAUGAAGGUCUUCGGAUCGUAAAACUCUGUUAUUAGGGAAGAACAUAUGUGUAAGUAACUGUGCACAUCUUGACGGUACCCAAUCAGAAAGCCACGGCUAACUACGUG